rnacentral:lncRNA from 1 species
UUGUUUCAACCUUGAUCUAGAGAUCCUUCAAAGCCUUCAAGAAGUCUUCAAUCAAAGAUCAUUCCCUUCUCAAGCAUUCAUUCAAGCGUUCAUCCACCUUGAGAAAAUCCAAAAAGAGAUUCUUCAUUUGAGUAAAGUAUUUUUAUUGUUAUAUUCGCUCAUUUAAGGAGCUGUUAUUGUAUUAAUUUGUGCUCUAAGCUAUUUUACUCUUUGUGAGUAUUUGUUCUUGUUUUUGGAGGAUUUCCAAAACAAGGGAAGGUUGAUCCGAACCUGAAAUCGAAGUAUUUUGGGUUGACUUGUACCC